UACGGGGGGAGCAAGCGUUGUUCGGAUUUACUGGGCGUAAAGAGCGCGCAGGCGGUCAGAUAAGUCGAAUGUGAAAGCCCCCGGCUCAACUGGGGAGGGUCGUGCGAUACGGGCGGACUGGAGGCCAGUAGGGGGAUGCGGAAUUCCGGGUGUAGUGGUGGAAUGCGUAGAGAUCCGGAGGAACACCAGCGGCGAAGGCGGCAUCCUGGACUGGUCCUGACACUCAGGAGCGAAAGCGUGGGGAGCGAGUCCGG
rnacentral:rRNA from 1 species